rnacentral:rRNA from 1 species
CCCUUAGAUGUUCUGGGCCGCACGCGCGCUACACUGAUGCAUUCAACGAGUUUCUUCCUGGUCCGAGAGGAAUGGGUAACCUUUUGAAAGUGCAUCGUGAUAGGGAUAGACUAUUGCAAUUAUUGGUCUUCAACGAGGAAUUCCUAGUAGACGUAGUUCAUCAGACUGCAUCGAUUACGUCCCUGCCCUUUGUACACACCGCCCGUCGCUCCUACCGAUUGAAUGGUUUAGCGAGAUCUUCGGAUUGGCGCCACUGCGGCUCAGCAAUGGGCUCGGUGGAUGCCGAAAAGUUGAUCAAACUUGAUCAUUUAGAGGAAGUAAAAGUCGUAACA